UUGAAGCUUGCUAAAGAGAGUACAUUUGGUUCCCUGCACUUGUGGUAUUUUUUGGACCCCUCUGAAGGAAGCAUCGAACAGAGCUAUUUCAACUGCUCAUCAUUUUUUCAGGGGAUAUUGAAGGGGUGAUGUCCUGUUCAUAGUGAUUCCUAUGUGGACGACAAAAAAAUGUAGGUCUAGCUUUCAACCAAUUUUGCGACGAAACCAUUGUGAAGAACCAUGGUGUAUUCAGAAACUGAAACGCUAUUUCAUCUGAAUAUUUUGAUACUAUAAUGCCAUCCCACUACUAUAUUUGUAACCAAAUGACAUUUACACAUGUUAAAUGAAUGAUAUAUGCACUGUUCAGCAUUACAUUGCAUUGCACAGACUGCUUUCGUGUGGUUUAGUAUUCACAAUUGCAUGUAUUUAGAUGUCACAUUGACUGAACAUUGAAGAAGUCUAUAACUCAUUAGCUAGACAGUUAAUUUUAUUUAGAGAACCAAUUUUCCAUGUGGCUACUGGCUAGAAUUGCCCAUGUAUGGCCUUAUGAAGGCAUAAGUAUGAUAUCUGCUACUAUAUGUAGACAUGUAGUGAUGUCUACAGCAAAGAGGAAGAUUGCAAUAUACUAAUACUCAAGCCAGUUUUCAAAUUUAGGUGGUGGAGGCAAGUCAAGAUUUUAGACAUGUUGUGUUAGUGGUAGUCACAACUGAUCAUCCUCUUGAACUGCAUGAUGCUGGACCUAACUAAUUGAUUAAUCAGACACUUAUGAGUGACCUAAAAUUAUAGACGCCAAUCCUUAUGAGUGAAGUUGUUCCUGUGCAGAAAAAAUUUUUUUUUUCUUCUAGCAAGCAAGAGAAUGUCAAGAUAUUUUGAGUUAUUUCUGAUACUUGCUUGAUGGAACAAACAUAAAUGCUUGGUAGAUAGCAAUUGCCUUUUUUUGGUCCAUUGAUUUGGGCUACAUGGGAUAAAAAAGUUGUUCUGUUUGUUCCUUUACAAAUUUCAGGUGAGAUCUCUUCCUAGGAUCUGCUCAUUAGGCUUGAUUUCCUGACAGGUGUUCAGUUUCUUUCUCAUGACCUUGACUUAUAUAAUUGCAUUUUAGGUGUCAUCAUUUGGUCACAUGUAUUGUCGUUCUUAGCAGGUAUCAUUGUUUGGUCACAUGUAUCAUUGAUCUACUUGCCUCCUUUGAAUGUCCAUAUGUGUGUGUUAAUACAUUCAGUUAUUUUAGACCACCUUCAAUAAUUUUUUUACACUUAAAUUGGAUAAAGAAUGAUCAUGGUGCAGUUGCUUCACUUGGUUGCAGUUUAUAGCAUUAGUUUGCAAGCGCAAAAUAAUUUUUCCAUGCAUCUUUCUGAUUGUUUUCUUACCUCGGCUAACUGCUGAAACCUUUGUCAAAUAUAAUGAAUGCCAUGUCAGUAGCACCGUCGUUAAUAUAAAUGAUCUUAUCUUGCCAUUAGAUGUAGCGUCCAUUGACGAGAUUUCUCGAUGAUUGGAAUGGAGAGAUUGAACUAUAUGCUUUCAGUUCAUUUAAUUUUUCUUUAGCUGCUUAUUCAUGUUGUGUACUUCUAUUUCACGUAUCGGCAUGGCAAUGUCUUAAUUAAUGUUCUUUUUAGUAUUUCAGGCUUUAGAAGAACCAUAGUUUGGAGGUUUCAUUGUGUACCAUGGCAUGUGAUAUCUAUAUGCCAUAUCACCAAUCAAAAUCAGAUUUCCCUCCCCCUCACUGUUUAGGCAUGUUUAGCUUAUUAUUAUUUCUUACAAAAGCACACUUACUUUCUCCGGUGAAUCUAUUCGUUUGCAUCUCUUGGACUGCUCACCAUGUUAAAUUCUGGUGGCACUCUUGACAGUAUUGAGCUACCGCGAUUCAGAUCAAAUUCCGAGGGCCGGGGCAGUUUGGUUGUAUUUGCUGGGCAGGUUGGCACUUGUAGAGUUGAUGCAUAUGAAGUUAAGUUCAGCUAUUCUGAUGAUGGCCUUUCUAGCCUUUGAUCUCCCCACACGGGACUAGGCAUUGAGAUUUUGUACAAUCCUUCUCUUGCCAUCUGUGAUGUAGCUGCAGUACUGUUCAGUAACCAUUACAUGUGCUGCCGUGCACAUGGACACCAUUUAUUUUACAAAGAUUGUUGGACGCAAGUCAAUUGCUGCCUAUUAUGUUCUUUGUAGCUAUAGCUGAUUGUAUUGACGUGAUUUGUUGAUAAUUGAUGCCGGUUUCGUUCU